AACGAACGCUGGCGGCAGGCUUAACACAUGCAAGUCGAACGAACUCUUCGGAGUUAGUGGCAGACGGGUGAGUAACGCGUGGGAACCUACCUUUAGGUACGGAACAACAGUUGGAAAACGACUGCUAAUACCGUAUGUGCCCCUAUGGGGGAAAGAUUUAUCGCCUAAGGAUGGGCCCGCGUUGGAUUAGCUAGUUGGUGGGGUAAAGGCCUACCAAGGCGACGAUCCAUAGCUGGUCUGAGAGGAUGAUCAGCCACACUGGGACUGAGACACGGCCCAGACUCCUACGGGAGACAGCAGUGGAGAAUAUUGGACAAUGGGCGCAAGCCUGAUCCAGCCAUGCCGCGUGAGUGAUGAAGGCCCUAGGGUUGUAAAGCUCUUUCAGCGAGGAGGAUAAUGACGUUACUCGCAGAAGAAGCCCCGGCUAACUUCGUG
rnacentral:rRNA from 1 species